rnacentral:rRNA from 1 species
CUACGGGGGGCAGCAGUGAGGAAUAUUGCACAAUGGAGGAAACUCUGAUGCAGCAACGCCGCGUGGAGGAUGACGCAUUUCGGUGUGUAAACUCCUUUUAUAUGUCAAGAAAAUGACGGUAGCAUAUGAAUAAGCUCCGGCUAACUCCGUGCCAGCAGCCGCGGUAAUACGGAGGGAGCAAGCGUUACUCGGAAUCACUGGGCGUAAAGGACGCGUAGGCGGGAUAGAAAGUCAGGUGUGAAAUCCUAUGGCUCAACCAUAGAACUGCACUUGAAACUUCUAAACUAGAGUAUGGGAGGGGAAGAUGGAACUAGUGGUGUAGGGGUAAAAUCCGUAGAUAUCACUAGGAAUACCAAAAGCGAAGGCGAUCUUCUGGAACAAUACUGACGCUAAGGCGUGAAAGCGUGGGGAGCAAACAGGAUUAGAUACCCUCGUAGUC